rnacentral:rRNA from 1 species
AUUGAACGCUGGCGGCAUGCCUUACACAUGCAAGUCGAACGGCAGCACGGACUUCGGUCUGGUGGCGAGUGGCGAACGGGUGAGUAAAGUAUCGGAACGUACCUUUCAGUGGGGGAUAACGUAGCGAAAGUUACGCUAAUACCGCAUAUUCUGUGAGCAGGAAAGCAGGGGAUCGCAAGACCUUGCGCUGAUUGAGCGGCCGAUAUCAGAUUAGCUAGUUGGUGGGGUAAAAGCUCACCAAGGCGACGAUCUGUAGCGGGUCUGAGAGGAUGAUCCGCCACACUGGAACUGAGACACGGUCCAGACUCCUACGGGAGGCAGCAGCGGGGAAUUUUGGACAAUGGGGGCAACCCUGAUCCAGCCAUGCCGCGUGAGUGAAGAAGGCCUUCGGGUUGUAAAGCUCUUUCGGCCGGGAAGAAAUCGCAUGGGCUAAUACCCUGUGUGGAUGACGGUACCGGAAUAAGAAGCACCGGCUAACUACGUGCCAGCAGCCGCCGUAACAC